GACGAACGCUGGCGGCGUGCCUAAUACAUGCAAGUCGAGCGGACCAAAGGGAGCUUGCUCCUGGAGGUUAGCGGCGAACGGGUGAGUAACACGUGGGCAACCUGCCUGUAAGACUGGGAUAACAUCGAGAAAUCGGUGCUAAUACCGGAUAAUAAAAAGAACUGCAUGGUUCUUUUUUGAAAGAUGGUUUCGGCUAUCACUUACAGAUGGGCCCGCGGCGCAUUAGCUAGUUGGUGGGGUAACGGCUCACCAAGGCGACGAUGCGUAGCCGACCUGAGAGGGUGAUCGGCCACACUGGGACUGAGACACGGCCCAGACUCCUACGGGAGGCAGCAGUAGGGAAUCUUCCGCAAUGGACGAAAGUCUGACGGAGCAACGCCGCGUGAGUGAUGAAGGUUUUCGGAUCGUAAAACUCUGUUGUUAGGGAAGAACAAGUGCCGUUCGAAAGGGCGGCACCUUGACGGUACCUAACGAGAAAGCCACGGCUAACUACGUGCCAGCAGCCGCGGUAAAGUC
rnacentral:rRNA from 1 species